GAGAGAGAGAGAGAGAGAGAGUAUGGACCGGAGAGGGGAGGAGACAAGCAGCAGCCUUUUUACCCAAAAUUCAGUAGCUUCCUCCUCUUCCUCUCCUCCCUCACCAUCCAUCUGUGUCAGUAACUAUAAACAACAAAGAGGUGGAAAUAAAUGAAUUAUUAAACAGAACCACACUGGAUGUUGUUGUAUUAUGUGAGACAAAAUGGAAAAAUGAAAGGGGAACUCCUGACAUUGGUGAUGAUAAAUAUGAUUUAUGAAUGAAAAACAGAAGUGACAAGGGAGGAGGUGGAGUGAUCAUUCUGACUAAGAAAUCUGUUAAAGUGGAGAAGGUAAUAAAAAAGUGAAGACAAGACUGAAAUUCUACAAGUGAUGAUUAGAAGUGGACAUGGAAGGAAAAUGAAUUAU